rnacentral:misc_RNA from 1 species
GAUGAAGAACGCAGCGAAAUGCGAUAAGUAAUGUGAAUUGCAGAAUCCAGUGAAUCAUCGAAUCUUUGAACACACAUUGCGCCCGCCAGCAUUCUGGCGGGCAUGCCUGUUCGAGCGUCAUUUCAACCCUCGACCUCCCUUUGGGGAAGUCGGCGUUGGGGACCGGCAGCACACCGCCGGCCCUGAAAUGGAGUGGCGGCCCGUCCGCGGCGACCUCUGCGUAGUAAUCCAACUCGCACCGGAACCCCGACGCGGCCACGCCGUAAAACACCCAACUUCUGAACGUUGACCUCGAAUCAGGUAGGACUACCCGCUGAACUUAAGCAUAUCAAUAAGCGGAGGA